AGAGUUUGAUCAUGGCUCAGGAUGAACGCUAGCGGCAGGCUUAACACAUGCAAGUCGAGGGGUAUAGGUUUUCGGACCUAGAGACCGGCGCACGGGUGCGUAACGCGUAUGCAAUCUACCUUUUACAGAGGGAUAGCCCAGAGAAAUUUGGAUUAAUACCUCAUAGUAUUACUGAAUGGCAUCAUUUAAUAAUUAAAGUCACAACGGUAAAAGAUGAGCAUGCGUCCCAUUAGCUAGUUGGUAAGGUAACGGCUUACCAAGGCAACGAUGGGUAGGGGUCCUGAGAGGGAGAUCCCCCACACUGGUACUGAGACACGGACCAGACUCCUACGGGAGGCAGCAGUGAGGAAUAUUGGUCAAUGGGCGCAAGCCUGAACCAGCCAUGCCGCGUGCAGGAUGAAGCAUCUAUGGUGUGUAAACUGCUUUUGUACGAGAAGAAACACUCCUUCGUGAAGGAGCUUGACGGUAUCGUAAGAAUAAGGACCGGCUAACUCCGUGCCAGCAGCCGCGGUAAUACGGAGGGUCCAAGCGUUAUCCGGAAUCAUUGGGUUUAAAGGGUCCGUAGGCGGUUUUGUAAGUCAGUGGUGAAAGCCCAUCGCUCAACGGUGGAACGGCCAUUGAUACUGCAAGACUUGAAUUAUUAGGAAGUAACUAGAAUAUGUAGUGUAGCGGUGAAAUGCUUAGAGAUUACAUGGAAUACCAAUUGCGAAGGCAGGUUACUACUAAUGGAUUGACGCUGAUGGACGAAAGCGUGGGUAGCGAACAGGAUUAGAUACCCUAGUAGUCC
rnacentral:rRNA from 1 species